rnacentral:tRNA from 1 species
GCGCAGGUGUUGUAACUGGUAGCCAAGCAUCCUUGAGGUGGAUGUGCCCGUAAGGGCGUGGAGGUUCAAGUCCUCUCCUGCGCA